GACGAACGCUGGCGGCGUGCUUAACACAUGCAAGUCGAACGGAAAGGCCCUGCUUUUGUGGGGUGCUCGAGUGGCGAACGGGUGAGUAGCACGUGAGUAACCUGCCCUUGACUUUGGGAUAACUUCAGGAAACUGGGGCUAAUACCGGAUAGGAGCUCCUGCUGCAUGGUGGGGGUUGGAAAGUUUCGGCGGUUGGGGAUGGACUCGCGGCUUAUCAGCUUGUUGGUGGGGUAUUGGCUUACCAAGGCUUUGACGGGUAGCCGGCCUGAGAGGGUGACCGGCCACAUUGGAACGGGGAUACGGCCCAGACUCCUACGGGAGGAAGCAGUGGGGAAUAUGGCACAAUGGGCGGAAGCCGGAUGCGGCACCGCCGCGGGCGGGAUGACGGCCUUCGGGUUGUAAACCGCUUUCGCCUGUGACGAGGCGGGAGUGACGGUAAUGGGAAAAGAAGCACCGGCUACCUACGU
rnacentral:rRNA from 1 species